rnacentral:rRNA from 1 species
UACGGAAGGCAGCAGUGGGGAAUAUUGCACAAUGGGCGCAAGCCUGAUGCAGCCAUGCCGCGUGUAUGAAGAAGGCCUUCGGGUUGUAAAGUACUUUCAGCGGGGAGGAAGGCGGUGAAGUUAAUAGCUUCACCGAUUGACGUUACCCGCAGAAGAAGCACCGGCUAACUCCGUGCCAGCAGCCGCGGUAAUACGGAGGGUGCAAGCGUUAAUCGGAAUUACUGGGCGUAAAGCGCACGCAGGCGGUCUGUCAAGUCGGAUGUGAAAUCCCCGGGCUUAACCUGGGAACUGCAUUCGAAACUGGCAGGCUAGAGUCUUGUAGAGGGGGUGAAUUCCAGGUGUAGCGGUGAAAUGCGUAGAGAUCUGGAGGAAUACCGGUGGCGAAGGCGGCCCCUGGGACAAGACUGACGCUCAGGGUGCGAAAGCGUGGGGAGCAAACGAGGAUUAGGAUACC